UGUUGGCCGACACCAGGAGGGUGACGAAGCCAUAAAAUGCAGUGAAGUGGAAAAUGUAAAUAAAUUUAAAUCUAAAAGUGCCUAAAUAUAAGAGUGCGCUUGUAAGUGGGAAUGAGCCCAUUUUACACGUAAUGUCAGAGCAUAAGUAAAGUGCAGUAAAAUUAGGAUAAGACUUAUACCAUUGGGAGUAGUCUCUGAUAUCAGCAUUUGCCAGAAAUCCUCAUUAACUCGAACAUUGUCACUGAAACCUGGAGGGGUGAAAAACAAGGGUGAGUAGGCCUAAAAAUAAAGUUUUAUAAAAGCCUUUUUGAAAACAUUAUGAAAAUACUUACCGUAGCCUGCAAUAUCUCAAAAAUACAAUAUGUCACAAAAUUCAUAAAUAAAUACAUGACAUUCAUAAUCACAUAAUCUCGCAUAAGCAAACAUAUCAUAUCGAGUGCUCAUCGACACAUGCUGACACACGAGUUCAUGCAGAGGUAUUCUGACAUGAACAUGACUGGGUGUAAUAAUGAUAUAUGAUCUAGUACUACAAUCACAUGAAGACUAGAGCUAAGUGCAGCAUAUAUGAGUCAUAAUUGCCUAUAGCAAUCUAGGACAGGAUUGGCACCUACAAUAGAUCCAAAGUGAGUGUACGGUGCAAUGUGCACAUACACGUGAAAGACUGGCCCUGGCUCAGGGUUGACUUUGUCAGUGAUGUUUCCAUCCUCAUCUGUCAGCAAUGCUGGGGGACACUUACUAGUUCCAUCAACAAAGGAAACCAGAUUUCGACUGCGGAGGAGAGGUAGCAUUUGGGCUUGCCAGAGAGGGUAGUUGGUACGAUCAAGUUUGAUCGUGAGAAAAUUGGAGACAUUAGGAAAGGGAAUGGGAGAGGAAGAUUGAGAAGCCAUGGAGAACGGGGAAAAAAAAUUAUUGUCGCUAGACUUUAGCUCUUUGAUACCAUGAAAGAGUUUAAGCUAGGGUUCGAAAACUGUGAACUGCAUAAACUCAUCAAGGAGUAUGGUUUGGCUUUCUUACAAUCUGCAUCAUUGCAGUAUGGUUUUUAUACAGUUUUACAUACACCCGCAUGCCAUAAACAAUAGUACACGCAUGCAAUAAAUAAUGUGAGAUCAUGCAAUAUUCUUCUGCCCAUCUUCGACAGGACUUCAUGGGUUUCAUUUAGAAUAGUCCUUUCACCAUGUCAGCAGCACAUGGAUUAUAUGUCAGCAGCACAUGGCUUAUACUCAGGUAGUUUGAACUGAAUAUUUGGUUUAUCACGCCCCCGCAAGCUGAGUGGGCGCGGACGAACAGGAAGCUUGGAAAGAAGAUAACUGAACCGUGCGGUGGACAAGCCCUUUGUUAAGAGAUCGGCAAGUUGGUCAGUAGAUGAAACAUAUCCCACAACAAGUUCAUUUCUAGUGACUUUCUCUCGAACAUAAUGAUAAUCAACUUCCACAUGACGCAUACGAGCCUGAUAAACGGGAUUGGAAGCCACUGCCAGUGCACUGAUAUUGUCACACCACAAUUUUGGUGGAGUGAGAGGAAGACGAAGAUCACAAAAAAAUGUGUCUGAACCAAGAUAAGGUGGCAGCUGUGUAGGCCAUUUGGCGAUACUCGGCCUCCGUACUUGAGCGAGACACGCCGCGCUGCUUUUUAGAACUCCAGGAGACCAAGUUAUCCCCUAGAAAUAUGCAAUGACCACCAGUGGAGCGACGAUCAUCAGGGUCACCAGCGUAGUCAGCAUCGGCAAAUGCUGUGAGGGACAAAAAACUGGGUUUAUAAACGAGACCGCGAUCAUGAGUGGCUUUCAAAUAGCGAAGAAUGCGUUUGACGGCAACCCAAUGUGUAGUGGUGGGCGAAUGCAUAUACUGGCAGACUUGAUUCACAGCGAAAGCAAUGUCCGGACGUGAAUAAGAGAUAUUGGAGAGCCCCAACAAUACUUCGAAAGGUUGUUCCAUCCGCCAAGGGCUCGCCCUCAUACAAACUAAGCUUGCGGCCAGGGAGGGCUGGAGUAGACAAGGGUUUGGCGUCAGCCAUCUGAGUUCGUUUGAGGAGGUCCAGGAUAUAUUUUGACUGUGUUAAGUACAUGGCCGUUGGCGUUCUCGUAAUUUCCAUUCCCAAAAAAUAAUGCAAGGGACCAAGGUCCUUCAUGGAGAAUUUUUCGACCCAAUUGAUGAAUCAAGGUGGAGAUGUGAGCUGGAUUAUUACCGGUGACGAGGAUGUCAUCAACGUAAAUGAGCAAGUAAAUGACAUUAGUUCCAUUGCAGAAAAUGAACAGCGAAGAAUCUGCCAUGGAGGCUUGAAAGCCGAGCUCCUCCAGAUGGUGAGAGAAGCACUGAAACCAGGCACGUGGAGCCUGUUUUAAGCCGUAUAAGGACCGGCGAAGACGGCAUACAUGUGACGGAAACUGCGGAUCGACAAAACCAGAAGGUUGGCGCAUGUAGACUUCUUCAUUUAAAGAGCCAUGAAGGAACGCAUUUUUGACGUCAAGUUGGCGAAUUGGCCAGUUAAAAUGAAGAGCCACGGAGAGAAUGAUCCUGAUGGUAGCAUGAGUGACGACGGGACUAAACGUCUCACUGUAAUCAAGCCCUUCUUGUUGAUGGAAACCAUUGGCAACAAGACGUGCUUUAAAUCUUUCAAUGGAACCGUCAGAUUUCCGUUUAAUACGGUAGACCCAUUUAUUUGGUAGGACAUUCAUGGAGGGAUGAGAAGGAACUAGGGACCACGUUCCUGUGCUUUGUAGAGCAUUGAACUCUUCUGCCAUUGCCAUACGCCAUUCGGGAGACUUAUUUGCCUGUGUAAAACAAGAGGGCUCAACAAGUUCAUUAGUCACAUCAGAAACAAGAGCAUACUUGGGGUUUGGCUUCUGAAUGCCAUCCUUUGAGCGUGUAACCAUGGAGUGAACAGGUUGAAUUUGUCUCUGAGAGGAAGGUGAGACAGGAGCAACACCCAUUGCAGUCGUAGGGGAUGGAAUGGAAGAAGGGGCAGGGAGGUGCGGAUUUGGUGGGAAAUUAGAGGAAAUAGGGUUAGGUUGGGGGGAUGGUAUAGUGGGAUGCAUGUGAUGGUGCGGAUGUGGUGGUAAAGGGCAGGGAAUAGGACUAGGGUUAGGUGGGUGAGAUAAUAUGGGGAAUAAGUUGGACGGAUGUGGGUUUGGUGGUACAGUUGGGAAAAUGGGGUUCCUAGAGGGAUAAUGGAAAGAAGAGGGGUCAAUGUUCAGUACCAUAGACGAUUGGGAGGAUGAGGACGUUGUAGAAAUGGAUUCUUUGUAUGGAAAAUUGGUUUCAUCAAAUAGGACAUGGCGUGACAAAAAAAUGCGACCUGUGGACGUAUCUAAACACCUAUAACCUUGUUGAUUUAAUGAAUAACCUAAGAAAAUGCAACGUUUGGAGCGAAAUUGCAGCUUGUUAGUAUUAUAAGGACGAAGAAAUGGAAAACAUGCACACUCCAAAAAACUUUAAGAAAAAUCAUAUUGAGGAGAUUUUUGAAACAGUUUUUGAAAGGGAGACUCAUCAUGGAGAACUUUAGUGGGUAAACGAUUGAUCAAAUAGUUUGCUGUAUGGAAAGCAUCAUCCCAAAAAGAAGUUGGUAAGGAGGAAUGAGCAAGAAGAGUGAGACCAGUUUCAACGAUAUGACGGUGUUUUACGUUCGGAAAUUCCAUUUUUGUUCAGGAUGAUGUGGACAUGUAAAACGAUGUAGAAUGCCAUGUUGAGUCAAAAAAUUUUUGAAUUUGUUGUUUACGUACUCCCCUCCUCCAUCAGUUUGAAAGGAUUUAAUUGUAGUGUGGAACAUGUUUUCAACCAAUUUCUUAAAGGACACAAAAGUGAGAAAAACAUCAAGAUUUUAAUUUUAAGGGAUAUAGCCAAGAGUAGCGAGAAAAAUCAUCAAUAAACACGACAUAAUAUUUAAAACCAUUGAUAGAAAAAGAAGGUGAAGUCCAUACAUCGGAAUGAACCAAUUGUAAAGGAGAUGAAGACCUAGAGACAGACAAUGGAAAAGGUAACUUGUGACUCUUGCCCAUGGGACAUGAGUGACAUAACUCACUAGUUACAACGCCCUUAAUAGGCAAUUUGUUCCUAGAAACCAAAUUUUGCAAAAUAUGAGAAGAUGGAUGACCUAACCUAGAGUGCCAAAUUGAAUUGGACACUCUAGUUCCUAAAAAUGCAGACACGCCUUUAAUGGAAGAUGAAACACCAGAAAAAGGGUAGAAUCCAUUCCUACUCGGGCCUUGUAAAAGCAUCCUCCCCGUGUGGAGUUCCUGAACACAGUAUGAGUUGGGAUAUAAGGUUAGAGAACAGUUAUUAUCGGUAGUAAAACGAUGGAUAGAAAUAAUAUUGGUUGAUGCAUUAGGGCAUAGUAGUGUAUUAGGUAAUGUGAAAGUAGAGGUAGGUGUACGAAUGGAAGUGUUGCCUAUGUGUGAAAUUUGCAAACCUGUGCCACCAACAACUCCAUUGACUUGGUCCAUGCCAGUAUAAGGAUGAGGAUGCGCAACAGUAGCUAGAUUAUUGGUGAUGUGAGCAUUGGCCCCGGAGUCAAACAGCCAUUCCUGUAUGGCAGGUGCUGUUGCAGAAGCAGGAGAGCAGAGCACGAGCAGCAAAGGCUUGAAGACGUGGUGCAGGGACACGUCCCUCAUAAGACAUAUUUAGGCGGUUGAAGCAGUCAAUCGCAGAAUGACCAUAACGAUUACAUAUUUGGCAUUGAAUCCGGCUUGUAGUAAAAGUACCUUGGGAAGGAGAGGUGCCAAGAAUCCCAUCAUGUGGGCGGGAGUGGGAUACUUGGUGAGAGUUGGACCCUUGGUGAUAGUAGGAACCUUGGUGAGAGGGUGAGGAGCUGUAGUGGCGAUUGGUAGAGCCGCGACCAGUAUUGAAGUUACUACGACCACGGAAGCCAGUAGAGGAUCCUCGUCCUCGAGAAGAUGCAGGUGCGCGGUUGCCAUUGCAAAGCGGCGGCAAGGACAGUGAGAGCCCACUGUCAGUACCAAACGCGGAAUGUAUUUGCUGUCGUCUUUUCAGCGCCAAGGAGGAGGGCUUCCAAAGCACUGUAGGUAAUAGCCUCAUCACGGGCUUGAGCGGAAGCAACGGUACUUUCAUAGGCCGGACCAACGUUGUUGAGGAUGAUGGCAACGAUGUCGGAGUCGGAAACGGGAGCACCAGAGAGAGAGAGAGGGUAUCUGCGAGACAAUUAAUUUUAUCCAAAAAUUCAGAAAUGGAAGAAUCACCUCGGUGAGUAUUCAUCAACUCACUACGAAGCUGGAGAAGGCGACCGGUGGACUGAGAAGCAUAACGAUCACGUAGUGUUGUCCAGGCAGAGUGGGAGCUGGUUUUCCCAAUUAAAGCAGCAAGCACGGUAGGAUGGACGGAGGAGUUGAUCCAUGACAUAACAGUUGCAUCCUGUUGUAUCCAAGUGUCGAAAUCAGGGUUGACUUUGUCAGUGAUGUUUCCAUCCUCAUCUGUCAGCAAUGCUGGGGGACACUUACUAGUUCCAUCAACAAAGGAAACCAGAUUUCGACUGCGGAGGAGAGGUAGCAUUUGGGCUUGCCAGAGAGGGUAGUUGGUACGAUCAAGUUUGAUCGUGAGAAAAUUGGAGACAUUAGGAAAGGGAAUGGGAGAGGAAGAUUGAGAAGCCAUGGGAGAACGGGGAAAAAAAAAUUAUUGUCGCUAGACUUUAGCUCUUUGAUACCAUGAAAGAGUUUAAGCUAGGGUUCGAAAACUGUGAACUGCAUAAACUCAUCAAGGAGUAUGGUUUGGCUUUCUUACAAUCUGCAUCAUUGCAGUAUGGUUUU
rnacentral:lncRNA from 1 species